rnacentral:rRNA from 1 species
CGCGUAGGCGGCCGAGCAAGUCGGACGUGAAAUACCCCGGCUCAACUGGGGAAUUGCAUCCGAAACUGCUCGGCUUGAGUCCUGGAGAGGGUAGUGGAAUUCCCAGUGUAGCGGUGAAAUGCGUAGAUACUGGGAGGAACACCGGUGGCGAAGGCGGCUACCUGGACAGGUACUGACGCUGAGGCGCGAAAGCUAGGGGAGCAAACA